rnacentral:rRNA from 1 species
GAUGAACGCUGGCGGCGUGCCUAAUACAUGCAAGUCGAGCGAACAGACGAGGAGCUUGCUCCUCUGACGUUAGCGGCGGACGGGUGAGUAACACGUGGAUAACCUACCUAUAAGACUGGGAUAACUUCGGGAAACCGGAGCUAAUACCGGAUAAUAUAUUGAACCGCAUGGUUCAAUAGUGAAAGACGGUUUUGCUGUCACUUAUAGAUGGACCCGCGCCGCAUUAGCUAGUUGGAAAGGUAACGGCUUACCAAGGCAACGAUGCGUAGCCGACCUGAGAGGGGGAUCGGCCACACUGGAACUGAGACACGGUCCAGACUCCUACGGGAGGCAGCAGUAGGGAAUCUUCCGCAAUGGGCGAAAGCCUGACGGAGCAACGCCGCGUGAGUGAUGAAGGUCUUCGGAUCGUAAAACUCUGUUAUUAGGGAAGAACAAAUGUGUAAGUAACUAUGCACGUCUUGACGGUACCUAAUCAGAAAGCCACGGCUAACUACGUG